rnacentral:rRNA from 1 species
CCUACGGGAGGCUGCAGUGGGGAAUUUUUCGCAAUGGGCGAAAGCCUGACGACGCAACGCCGCGUGGAGGAUGAAGACCUUCGGGUCGUAAACUCCUUUCGACCGAGAAGAAUGGCUCUCGACCUAAUACGUCGAGAGCAUGACGGUACCGAGGGAAGAAGCCCCGGCUAACUCUGUGCCAGCAGCCGCGGUAAUACAGGGGGGGCAAGCGUUGUUCGGAAUUACUGGGCGUAAAGGGUUCGUAGGUGGCCAACUAAGUCAGACGUGAAAUCCCUCAGCUUAACUGAGGAACUGCGUCUGAUACUGAUUGGCUUGAGUGCAGGAGAGGAACGCGGAAUUCCAGGUGUAGCGGUGAAAUGCGUAGAUAUCUGGAGGAACACCGGUGGCGAAGGCGGCGUUCUGGACUGUAACUGACACUGAGGCGCGAAAGCCAGGGGAGCAAACGGGAUUAGAUACCCCGGUAGUC